CACUCCUACGGGAGGCAGCAGUGGGGAAUAUUGGACAAUGGGCGCAAGCCUGAUCCAGCCAUGCCGCGUGAGUGAUGAAGGCCCUAGGGUUGUAAAGCUCUUUCACCGGUGAAGAUAAUGACGGUAACCGGAGAAGAAGCCCCGGCUAACUUCGUGCCAGCAGCCGCGGUAAUACGAAGGGGGCUAGCGUUGUUCGGAUUUACUGGGCGUAAAGCGCACGUAGGCGGACUAUUAAGUCAGGGGUGAAAUCCCGGGGCUCAACCCCGGAACUGCCUUUGAUACUGGUAGUCUUGAGUUCGAGAGAGGUGAGUGGAAUUCCGAGUGUAGAGGUGAAAUUCGUAGAUAUUCGGAGGAACACCAGUGGCGAAGGCGGCUCACUGGCUCGAUACUGACGCUGAGGUGCGAAAGCGUGGGGAGCAAACAGGAUUAGAAACCCUUGUAGUCC
rnacentral:rRNA from 1 species